AGAGUUUGAUCAUGGCUCAGAUUGAACGCUGGCGGCAUGCCUUACACAUGCAAGUCGAACGGUAACAGGUCUUUCGGGAUGCUGACGAGUGGCGAACGGGUGAGUAAUACAUCGGAACGUGCCUAGUAGUGGGGGAUAACUACUCGAAAGAGUGGCUAAUACCGCAUGAGAUCUAUGGAUGAAAGCAGGGGACCUUCGGGCCUUGUGCUACUAGAGCGGCCGAUGGCAGAUUAGGUAGUUGGUGGGAUAAAAGCUUACCAAGCCUACGAUCUGUAGCUGGUCUGAGAGGACGAUCAGCCACACUGGGACUGAGACACGGCCCAGACUCCUACGGGAGGCAGCAGUGGGGAAUUUUGGACAAUGGGCGCAAGCCUGAUCCAGCAAUGCCGCGUGCAGGAUGAAGGCCUUCGGGUUGUAAACUGCUUUUGUACGGAACGAAAAGUCUUGGGUUAAUACCCUGGGAUCAUGACGGUACCGUAAGAAUAAGCACCGGCUAACUACGUGCCAGCAGCCGCGGUAAUACGUAGGGUGCAAGCGUUAAUCGGAAUUACUGGGCGUAAAGCGUGCGCAGGCGGUUUUGUAAGACAGUGGUGAAAUCCCCGGGCUCAACCUGGGAACUGCCAUUGUGACUGCAAGGCUGGAGUGCGGCAGAGGGGGAUGGAAUUCCGCGUGUAGCAGUGAAAUGCGUAGAUAUGCGGAGGAACACCGAUGGCGAAGGCAAUCCCCUGGGCCUGCACUGACGCUCAUGCACGAAAGC
rnacentral:rRNA from 1 species